UCGAAGAGAGGGAGCCAGAAACCUGCUGUGUGGCAUUGGAAAUUUCUGCAUGUAAACUAAAAACAAAGUAACUUUAGAGCCAAAGAAAGUUAAUUUUCUUUCACGGAGACAACUGAAAUGAAUUAGCUGAAACUUUAUGAGCAAAAGUAAUGGAAAAGUUUCCUUCCAAGAAGACAGUCCAGACUUUAAAAGGAGGCUUAAAGUCAUUGCUAAUAGGCGCAAGUGUGAAAUUUGAAAAAGGGGGUGUGUGGAGGAAGAAUGUUCCUACAUGACUUCGCUGUAUAUUUUCCAUUAAACUUAACCAAGCCUCAUCGCUCUCUAGUACACUGUCGUCCAACAAUCCGCUUUUCUAGGAGAGUGUGAUUGUGCCACAGAGUAAAUGGAAAUCCCUGAGAAAUGUUCCCCCUCCCCACCCCCGCCCGGGGAAUGGAUGGAUCGCUGGGGUGGAUGGGAAUGGAUGGAUAGAUGAAUGCGAACAGGUCUUUCUGACUUUUCUGGUAAACUUUUCCACCAUGAGAAGAAUGUAUGCAUGCCACUGCACGACUCUAAGGAAUGAGAGAACCCGCAACCCAAGGGAUUGAUUGCUUCUGGGACAAGUCUCUAAAGGGCCAAGGGCAGCCCCGGGAUUUUGCUCGCCGCUCACCUUUUGUCUUUAAACAAGAAAGCUUUGCCCUUUCCAGUGACACAGGCUGUUGCUAUUCUCAGCAGCCUAUCACCGGCCAGGGGUGGGCCAUCCUUCGGAAGUGUUGCUCUGGCCCUUAAGCAAAGACUUGGAGCUUCUCAUCAAGCAAGUUAAAACCCAGUAGUAAGAGUAUUGGAACUCAGAAAGCACAAGGAUUCUAGAGGAUUAAAAAAAAAUCCUGAUAAUAUCUUGAUGUCAGAUUAAAUCCAAGUAAUAACAAUCCAUUUGUAUCCAGUUACAUCCAGCUUAUUUAGAGGGAAAUCAAGAUGGAAAGGUCAAAAAUGACAUUUUAGAGAACUAUUGGUAAUGCCCCUGGGGUAGUGGGUGGAAGAUGGGGUGGAAUGGAGAAUGAAGGAAAAAGUAAAUUCACUUUAAGUCAAAAUGAAAACACACAGUUCAGUGCCGUGAACCCAAUUAGCCUUGACAUGUGUGGUAUGAUGAUGAAAAAAGCAGAAAAUAAGGGUAUAGAAAAAUCUGUAAUCAUUUUCGUGAGAUUUGUUUCUAGAUAUUUGAAUCUCCUGAGUAGCUCCAAAUUCUUCUGAGAUAAAUUGUUAUGAAAUAUGUUCCAUGAAAGUACUCUCUGGAGGCAGCAUGGUGCUGUGGAACAAAAAUACUGUAUUUAGGAGAGGACCCAGGUUUGAACCUUGACUCUGCACUUAAUGUCUGUGUGAUCAUUGACAAGUCAUUUGAUCACCCUGAGCCUCAUUCUCCUUGUUUAUAAAAUGAGGAGGUUGGACUGUGACCUCUAAGAUCUCUUCCAGUUCUACAGCUAUGAUUCCAUGAUCUAUUUUUCUUCUUACAGAACAAGAAA